UACAGAGGGGGCAAGCGUUGUUCGGAAUUACUGGGCGUAAAGAGCGCGCAGGCGGUCGGAUAAGUCGAAUGUGAAAGCCCCCGGCUCAACUGGGGAGGGUCAUUCGAUACUGUUCGACUCGAAGGCAGGAGAGGGACGCGGAAUUCCAGGUGUAGCGGUGAAAUGCGUAGAUAUCUGGAGGAACACCGGUGGCGAAAGCGGCUUCCUGGUCCAGCACCGACGUUCAGGCACGAAAGCGUGGGGAGCAAACAGG
rnacentral:rRNA from 1 species